ACUCCCACCCCCUCUCCCUUAACACGAGUCGCGUUCAGCGAAGCUCUUUGUCCAGCGAUCCUCAUCGUCUCCAGUCGUUUCGCGGUGCCUGUCCGGGGGUUCUGCCUACCGAAACCGCUCGCUCGCUCCACGAAUACAAAACGACGCCACCGAUCUGCCACCCCCCCCCCACCACCACCACCACCUCUCUAUCGCUCUCUCCCUCUCUGGCCGUGUCGCCUCGUCGCAUCUCUCGCUCUCUCUCCCUUUGCGCCUUCUCGCUCGUUCUAUUAUAACGUCUCCCUCUCUCUGCUGCGGCGUUAGUGGUGGUGGUGCUGCUGCUGCUGCUGGACUGGGCCAGGCUGCCCACGGAAAAGGAUGCACGGGCGAGAUAAGGGAGCGAAAGGCGCCUUGCGUGAGUCCGCCACGCCCGCGUGCUGCCCAGCAUUGUGGGAACAACAUCGGCAGAGUCCGCACAGACGGGUCCACGAGGCCAGCUUCUCUACUGAAGUUUCACCACUCUCGCGGGGCCGCAAGCGACCCGCUACAUCCUUCCACGCGACUCGCGGACACACGAGGCCCACCGCCGCCGCUUGGAAACGAUCCGCCGACGAAAUGCGUCCACCGCUGGGAGCAUCCCUGGACGACACAGACCUACGCGUUAAACUCUUCGCCUAGCAGACGGGGGCGGGGGGGGGGGGGCGGGGGGGGGGGGAGGGAUAUUUGACGCUGCCGAAAUGAAGCACCGGCACGGGGAGGUGCGAUGCCCUUCCUCCUGCGUAGGGGGUGAGAGCGAGAGAAGAAUGCGUUACAGACAAACUCGGAGAGAGCUGCUGCAGCUGCUACUCAUUCUGUUUCGUGUUUAACAUUUGCUUCGAGUUUGUUUAACAUUGAUUGUAACUUGCACCCCCCCCCGCCCCAUUCCCUCCCCCGCCUUUACACAAGAUAACGCCGCAAGGUCGCAUCACCGCGUGCUCUGUGCACUGUGUGACGUCACACCGCGUGCUCUGUGCACUGUGACGUCACACCGCGUGCUCUGUGCACUGUGUGACGUUAAAACCGCGUGCUCUGUGCACUGUGACGUCACACCGCGUGCUCUGAGGACUGUGUGACGUCACACCGCGUGCUCUGUGCAUCCCAGGCUGCACUGUUUACCGUGGGGGGCAAGGUCGGCGGGGGGGGUGCUAACCCACCACCCCUCGCCCCCUCCACCUGAUAAAGGCUCAUCCCGCCUUCUGGGGGUCAGGCGCUUUUGCGGUUCAUCGUGGUCAGCGCCGCAGAGGAGUGUCUCGCUGUGAGAUGCGUGGAGAGCUGGGGGGGGGGGGGGUGGUCAAUAUUGGCAAUCCACCUGGGCGCGUGCACAAUGUGCACGUGGUUCACGAGCCAAAGUCAGAGUUUUCGGUGAAGUUGGUUUUGUUACUUUUUUUUGCUCACGAAAAAAAAAGAGUGGUACAGUAAUACCUCGGUAUACGUCGGGGAUGCGUUCCUGAAAGGUGCGACGACGUAUAUCGAAACGACGUGAAAUCAAAGCGAUGUACAGGGGGGUAGGUGGUGGUGGUGGUGGUCGUGGUGGGGUUCAGGCGACGCAAAUCGGGAAGCGGUGUUAAUAAAGUGACGACGUAUUUGCGAGACGACGUGAAAGCGCCGUGAAUUAAAUCGGGGUACUGCUGUACAUGUUUCAGAAUUGCCUGCGUAAGAAUUGACGUUAA